rnacentral:rRNA from 1 species
GCACGACCACUUAAAUAAAAAUCAGUCAGAACGGACCUUCGGGGUUAGUGGCGGACGGGUGAGUAACACGUGGAAACGUGCCUUUUGGUUCGGAAUAGCUCCUGGAAACGGGUGGUAAUGCCGAAUGUGCCCUUCGGGGGAAAGAUUUAUCGCCAUUAGAGCGGCCCGCGUCUGAUUAGCUAGUUGGUGAGGUAAAGGCUCACCAAGGCUACGAUCAGUAGCUGGUCUGAGAGGAUGACCACGCCACAUUGGGACUGAGACACGGCCCAAACUCAUACGGGAGGCAGCAGUGGGGAAUCUUGCGCAAUGGGCGAAAGCCUGACGCAGCCAUGCCGCGUGAAUGAUGAAGGUCUUAGGAUUGUAAAAUUCUUUCACCUGGGGACGAUAAUGACGGUACCCGGAGAAGAAGCCCCGGCUAACUUCGUGCCAGCAGCCGCGGUAAUACGAAGGGGGCUAGCGUUGCUCGGAAUUACUGGGCGUAAAGGGAGCGUAGGCGGACAUUUAAGUCAGGGGUGAAAUCCCAGAGCUCAACUCUGGAACUGCCUUUGAUACUGGAUGUCUUGAGUGUGAGAGAGGUAUGUGGAACUCCGAGUGUAGAGGUGAAAUUCGUAGAUAUUCGGAAGAACACCAGUGGCGAAGGCGACAUACUGGCUCAUUACUGACGCUGAGGCUCGAAAGCGUGGGGAGCAAACAGGAUUAGAUACCCUGGUAGUCCACGCCGUAAACGAUGAUUGCUAGUUGUCGGGGUGUUUACAUCUCGGUGACGCAGCUAACGCAUUAAGCAAUCCGCCUGG